rnacentral:rRNA from 1 species
UACGUAGGGUGCAAGCGUUGUCCGGAAUUAUUGGGCGUAAAGAGCUCGUAGGCGGUUUGUUGCGUCGGCUGUGAAAUCCCGAGGCUCAACCUCGGGUCUGCAGUCGAUACGAGCAAACUAGAGUGUUGCAGGGGAGACUGGAAUUCCUGGUGUAGCGGUGAAAUGCGCAGAUAUCAGGAGGAACGCCGGUGGCGAAAGCGGCUCUCUGGUCUGCAACUGACGCUGAGGUGCGAAAGCUAGGGGAGCAAACGGG